AUUGGUUUUGUUUUCUAUUUGGUGAAUUUUUUUUAUGAUCUUUUUUAUAUAAUAUUUUUUUUACAAUAUAAAGUAACAAAAUUUGCAUUGCAUUUUGAGGUAAUCACCGUAAUCUACAUUUUAUUUCAAUAUAUAUAUAUAUAUAUAUAUAUAUAUAGUUUUAGGGCAAAUCAUUUCAGCCUACCCAAUCGCCUCCAUCUUUAUUCUCGUUCUCAACUCUGAACUUGCACUGCACUCGGAAAAAGAAUGAGGCUCGUUCAGAGGGAUGGGAUGUUUCUAAGGGUGGUUGACCCUCUCUGUAAACGAUGAUCUCCUACAAAAUAAGGGAUGUGUGAUCAUCUAGAGCCAAUGAUCUCAUUUCCUACAGAAUCAACAGCCCUUUGUGUGUAGUGUGUGUGUGUGUAUAUAUAUAUAUAUUUGUGCGCGCGCGCACGCGCUGGACUGGUGCAUCUCCAAUCCUUCUUCUUCCAUCAUCAUCAUCAUCAAUCAUCAAUAAUCAUUAUAAGAGGCUGUGAUAAUAUAUGUUCUGAGUGGAUCAUACUGGCAUUGAGAAUCGGAUCCGUUUGUUGGCGGGGCAAACCAGAGGGUCUGUGGGAGAGAGAUUUGGUUCUUCUCUCAAAGGCAACUGUUGUUGCAGCCAGGGUGGUGGGAUAUACUCUUGCCCUGAUCAAAAGCAGAUCUGAGCCUCAAUUGUAGUCGAGUGUAUUUUAUUGAAAAUUUUCAAAAAAAAAAAACCUCUAAUCUUUAUAUUUUCAAUAUAUAUAUAUAUAUAUAUAUAUAUAUAUAUAUUUCUAUUUGGUGAAAUUUUUUAUGAUCUUUUUUAUAUAAUUUUUUUUUUUUUUUUACACUAUAAAUUAACAAAAUUUGCGUAGCAUUUUGAGGAGGUAAUCAUCGUAAUCUACAUUUUAUAUCAGCAAAACAAAUAUAAUUUUUUUUAUUUUAUUUUUGGUUUUCAAUUAUGUCCGCAAGAAAUUUGAAUCUGGGCAUGAAAAAAGAAAAAAAAAAAAAAAAAAAAAAGAAUCUGAAUUGGAAUAGAAAUCUGCAGAGAUUGAAUCUGAAACAAUUUUUAUCCACAUGCCAAGCUUUUGGAAGACGGAAAUCUUUUCAGAACUAAAAAAAAAUCAUUACAAGAACUUUGACAAGCAAAACUAGUUAAUAUAGGGUAAAGUUACUUCUUGAAAAUUAAAAUAUUUACAAAAAGCAUGCUUUUCAGUGAAUUCCAUAGUGUUGGAAGGGGCUUGCCAUGAACUACCUCACACUCUGCUUCCAGUCAUAGAUUCUCAAAUAGGAUUAGUAAAUUGGUCAAAAGAAGAGAUAGGGUACUGAGUGGUGAAUUGUUCAGAAAUAAAUUGGUAAUUUUUUUUUUUUAAUUACCCAAAUAGGAUUUUCUAUGCCUUAAUCAGUCAAUUGUCUAAAGAAACAUUGUUAAUUAACUAAAAUUGAAUUAAACAACAGUUGAUUUUGGUUGAUAUAUGUUUAUUUAGCCCACCCCAUUGAGAAAUCCUGGAUCUAUAUAUAUAUAUAUAUAUGCAAGUGGGUUGCUAUAAAUCACAACCACUCUCUAUCAGCCAACAGUUCGUCGAUGCCUUGCAAAGCGGUGGCCGACCGCCACAUAGGUCAUGGAAGAAGCUUCUGUAGGCAAUUAUCAGUUGAACUGUGUGGAAGAAAGUUGUUGGACUGAGCGGUGUCGGUAAUAGGUAUGUGUAUUCACAUUUAUUUGUGGCAUCAUAAUUUUAAAGCAGAGGGUUGGGAGAAGGUACUUGCUAGGAUUAAAGGGAGUUGUUCUUUAAAGGUAUCCACAUGCUUCAGCAUAGGAUAAUCCGAAUGGAGUGAAAACCCUGUUACGAUCUGGAUCCACUAGCCCUCCACUGUAUGAGUCCCCAGUAGGGGGAAAGGGAUUUCUGAAGGGGCUUCAUCAGUUGGGUGUUUUUUGACAAACUCAGCUACAAGGCUCGAUUGAUCCACGAACCCAAAAUAUCAAGGCAGGACUGGUGUUGGCAUUUGGCAUUCAACUGAAGUAGGGAAUUUCAACCAGGGCCGGUCCUGACGCAAGGCGACAAAGGUGGUCGCCUAGGGCCUCAAAAUUUAAAGGCCCAUGGAUGAUGGGCCACCAGAAAAAAAUAAAUAAAAAAUAAAAAAUUUUAGGGCAAAUUAUUUCAGCCUCACCAAUCGCCUCCAUCUCUAUUCUCGUUCUCAACUCUGAACUUGCCCUCUCUCUCUCUCUCUCCCCAACUGCAAACUACAAAAUCUACAAGAAUCAGAAGUUCAAAACCCAUAUAUUUCAGUUUAACUCUGUUUGCAAGAUUCAAAAGUUGAAAACCUAUUACCUAUAUCAAAACCCCCAUAUCGGCAUAUCAUUUCAGAUUGUUCAAAAAAUCAAAACCCAUAUCUUUCAGUUUCCAUUGCCCGCUGUUCCAGUUCGGGUUCACCGUUUGCAAGCUUCAGCCGCUGUCUCUCAACUCUCACCCCCGCCCCCCCCCCCCCCCCCCCCCCCCCUCUCCCCUGCAACUGCUAACUUGUAUUUAUGGGUUUUGUUUUCUAUUUGGUGAAAUUUUUUAUGAUCUUUUUUUAUAUAAUUUUUUUUUUUUUUUUUACAAUAUGAAGUAACAAAAUUUGCAUUGCAUUUUGAGGUAA